rnacentral:lncRNA from 1 species
AGGCACUCGUGGAGAGAAGAAAGGAGUGGAAGAUAGAGGAGAGAAGAAAGCAGGGCUUGGACAGAUAAGGCCAGAGGGGAUUUCCCCCUUCCCAAGUUGCUCCCAGCCACCAAAGAGUUUCCGGGCCUCACAAAGGCUUUUCCCAGCUCACCAGCCUGUCUGACCACAGCCUAACAGUGAGAUCCAGAACAGAUACAUCCUUAAAGCACUUAGGCUUACUGCAAAAGGCCAGCAUAGUUGUGGAAAGAGUCCAGUUUAUUUGGGCUAGGGUCUAUGGGCUGCGAUUUUCUCACACUUGAUUUUAGCCUACAGGCUGAGAAUUGACUAGGUUGUGAUUUCUUAACUGAAUUUUGUUGGGAGCUCUGACUCUGAAUUUGAGUGCCACUGGCUGCUGCAUCUACUUUGUAUCAACUCCAGGUGCUCCUCCCACAUCUAAGUCUGAGGUUUAAGAAGUACAGUAAAGCUGCUAUGAAUUCCCAGCUAUGGGAAUUUUCCUCAAAGCUUCAUUGUCUAAACUCUGAACCUCAUCAUAACCUCAGUUCUGCCUAGCUCCAUAACUAGUAGGUUUCACAAUUUGAUGUCCUCUUGCUGUGCUGACCCACUUGGAACUGGCCAUUCAGCAAGAUCCUAGAAUCUGGGGAUCAGAGACUACAACCCGGAAGGGACCAGGCUCAGAGCCCUGUGGGGUACUAGGCAGGAGGCUCUGACAUUCUGCCACCAACACACAGGAAGCAAACAGGUUUUUUUCUACUGGUGUUGGUGUACUUUGUGCUCAGAGAAUAGAAUAUCCCAGGGGAGUGUCAAACCAUGAGAAAAGGAAAGGUUACCAAGCAACGGCUUCAGGCAAAUCACCUCAGAUCUGCUCUCCAUUCCCCCAGGGUUGUGGGGGUCCGAAGCACAAGCAGAUGUCUGGAGGGAGCUAUUACUCACAUCCUCCCCUUCUUAAUUUCCCCUUCUUAAUUUCGCUCGGUGGCAGUAGCAGCAGUCACAGACCAAUCUCUAUCACUUCAGGAAAGAAGGGGGCAGAAACAGAUGCGUAGAGCAGCUUCUGAAGAUCAGCAGGCCUGUGCAGCAUCAUCUGAGGGUCCCCAGAAUUAAAGCAACAUGAAACCCUUCAUACUGAGUGUGGCCACUUCCCACUGACCAUGACUCACAAAUGGUUUCCAAUUUUAGAAGCUGCCCUGUCCUCAUAAAAGAAUUACCAGGAAGGUAGGAGGUUUGUUUGUUUGCUUUUCUGUGCAUCUAAGUACCCUGACAAUCUAAUCUCUGGAGAGUCUCAGUAACCAGGCAACACAAGUCAUGCUCCAAUUGUGCGGUCCUCAAUCCACUUUUCCUGUGCUAUUCCAGUUCAAAGUAAGAAUACCAAAGCCAGAACUGCAGAAGAUAAAUGUGGAUCUUUAUUACUACAAGCAGAUAACGGGGUCUGCCCCCUCUUCUUAUUGCUGAGUAGAAAUUCUGAGGCAAGUGCUUUUAAAAAGACUAGAACAGCACAUUUUACCUAAGAAUAAGAUUAUAGCUAGUAACCUGUUUUUCUUACAAAAAAAGAAAAUGGAAGGAGAUAGCUUUUGUCUGGUGACAGUUUAUUUUAACCCAGAUGCUUCCUCCACUUGUAAUUUGGCCUCAUUUGUGUUUUCAGAAACAUCACCAAUUCAGACGGGUUUCUUGGGUAAGGACUUAAUGGACAAGGUUAAACACAGCUGUUCUGGUGCCUGAAAUCCUUAAGAGUCUAGCAGGACCGGAGCAAGUAAAAUAAACUCAGAAAGAGCUGUCUGGAUCAGUGUUUCUAGAGACAAAAUGAGUAUAAAUGAGCAUGGAGUCAACAGGCCUCCUGGGUCAAGGUCAGAGGCAACCUGGGGACACGGAUUAACAGCGGAAGAACACUGCCUAUAGUACAUUUGCUAUGAGACAGCACAGAAUUGGACAUUCUGGCCUUUAAUCAUCAGGCUAUCACAAGGAAAAGUGGUCCAGAUUUAGUACUGUGUCAGCACUUUUUAUAAUAAAUGCUUCAUUUACUAGGAAUUUAGCUAUCGAGUUGCAGAUGAUAAAAAUGACACUCAAAUGCAAGGUCAAACAGCAAACAUUUAUAAUUCCUGUCUAUUAGCUAAAUACACAGUCCUAAUUAUCCAGGUGAAAGGGGUAAUUGUUUUCCCAAACAGUGCCUCAAUCUCCAGUGAUUUACAAAGCACUUUUACACACAUCAUCUCGUCACAGUGGUGUGUAUGCCCUUGUUACACAGAUGGAUUGAACUGGAAAUUGUUUCAUUUGCCAGUUUUAAGUAUCUUCCUUUUCCCUGUGGGUGGUUUCUGUAAGGCCUGAUGGACAUAUUAUCAUCUGGAUCUUCCAGGCAAUGACACCUCUAAAGAGGCCGAUGAACUAGAACUAUCAGUUCUAACACCUUAGGCAAGAAUCCCUCAAUCUCUCUGGGUUUCAGCUUCUUCAUGUGUAUACUGUAGAUAUGUUGUCAAAAUUGUGCUAAUCUUCACCAACUAAUAAGAAAUGAUAAGAAUGAGAUUUUGUGGAUAUGGGACUUUAAUAUACAGUGAGAGGAAUAUAAAUCAGCAUGACUUUUUGCUGGUGUUAUGUAAUAAAAUGUAAAACGUACAUACCAUUUCAUGCAGAAAAUUUAUAUCCAAGAAUCUAUCCCAAUGAGGUAGUUACAUAAAUAUGCAAGUAUACACAAGAUGUUCAUCACAAUUAGAAACAACCAAAAUGUCCACCAACAUGAGACUAGUUCAAAAAGAUACGAGGUAUUCAUACAAGAGACUUUAUGCAUCCACUGAAAAGAAUCAUGUAAUUCAUAUUGGUUGACUCAAAUAGAAGCUCCAUCACAUAUUUUCAAGACAAAAGGAAUUACAAAGCAGUAUGGUUGAUAUAAUCCCAUUUAUGUGCAAAUCAAAUAAAUUCCAGAUUUCACUGUGGUUCAAUUCAGCCCAGUGUCACAUUCACAGAAACAACCCAGCAACAAAAAGGCAUUACAGAGUAAUUUCAGCCUUGGCUCUCCAUUUUCAGAAAACAUUAAAGAACCUACAAUUCCUAACCCACAGCACCACAUCUUAAAAUAGUCUCUGUAUCCCACCUUUUUCAUCUUGUUCUCUAAUUCUCACACUGUAAUAGCUCCUGAAGGCUUUCUCCUCCCCAAUAUGCUUUUCUACUCUCAACCAAAGACAUCACAAUGAUACUCAAACAGAUCAGCCACUUCUCUUUUGUCCCUCUUCCUUCUUCCUUUGUUUUUUUUCUUCACUGAUUACCAUACUCCGAAAAAUAAGGUGGAGAAAGAAGAAAAUGCUAAGUGGACAAAAUUUCCUUUCCAGAGAGUAGGAGAAAAAGAGAUUGACUAUGCAUAUACUACAAUGUCUUAACCUUGUAGCAAGCGCAAAAUUAUUUAAGUGAUAUCUACUGCAUAUAUGCCUAGAAGUGUCUGCAAGGAUGUUGACAAAAUUCUUAAGAAUAAUUAUCUCAGUUGGGAUUUCCCUGUGAACUUUGCUUUUAAUUUUAUAUCUCUCCUUAUACCUCUUUGAGUAACUCAUGAUGAACAUGUUUUGUUUGUGAUCAAAACCACGAAAUAAACUCAUGUCAACAUGUAAAAAAAGAGGUUGUAAUGAUGCUCACAAGAAACAAUAGACAUGAAAAAAUACACAAUUUAAGUACAAAGUAUAAGCAUUUUAAAUAAAUACGAUUGGACUGUCUCUUCCAGUUUCCAACAUUAAUAAGCUCCAUUAUUUUGGAAUUAUUUUAAUUACUCCUACAUGUUAGAGUUGGUUAAUUUCUGAACAACAGUCAGAUACUCCCCUGUGUUGCUUAAUUUGUUGUUUUAUUAUCAGUCAGCCCUGUUUAAUUUGUGAGUCCACUGGGUUAUGACUUGUACAGCAUUUAAUGAUUUGUAAAAUAAUGUUAAGUAUUUUAAACUCAUUGCAAUCAUUUUUAUUCAUGUGCUCUGGAAGCCAUCAUUUUGAGGGGGUCUCUUUGGAGAAGAAGGAGUUGGUGUAUGUAUAUUUGUAUACAUUUCAAUUUCUCCAAAUCCACACAUCCAGUACCUCUUUCUAAAUAUAUGGCACUUAUUUAUUUUUAUAAUUCACGAGCCAGACAAAUUUUCCUCAAAAUCAAGGUACUUGCCUGUGCAGUUCCCAACAUUCUGACUCAUGAAUCUCCUCUUAGCUGGGGAAAUUCUGAAAAGAAGUUUGCAACACGUCGCCGUGGGGCCCAGUCACACAGCUGUUAAUAACGACUACCAGGCGGCGAGUGCUCUUUGUUCCUGAGAAGUGAGCUUGUCAGACUCCCCACCCAGAAAUCCCAAAUGGUACCCUGCUCAUGGCUGGAAAUUCCAUCCUGGGAGUUUCAGAAAGCAGAAUUUUUCCCUUAACUACUAUAUUUACACUUCAACAUUUCUUCAACAUUAUAACUAAAUACCUGAAUCAGUUCUAGUCAUGGACAACUUAUUGCAAGUGUCUUUGUGAGAAGAAAAGAAGAAAUAACCGCUGUUCAAAAAUCCUAAGAGACCCUGAAAAAUUGGAAAAAGUGAUUGGAAUCAGGUUUUAGCAGGCUGGCUAUAGAACAGAACCUUCAGAGUGGGGAAAGUACCCAAAGUAAGUGGAAAAUGGCUAUUUGGCCCCACAAGAUGUAGGUGUCAGGAAGGGACUCUACACUUCAGUGAUAUUCUAUAAAUAUUAAGUGACAUUUUAAUACAUUUAGCAGGCUAUAGCUAUUGGCUUUCUUUUUAUUCUGGAGAAGCUUAUCUUUUUGUCCUUCAAAGAGUCACUUGAGUAUCCCUUAGUAAUGUGAAUAAGGGCGAGUAAGCCCCAUUGAACUAGAACUAUAAUCUGAUGGGACCCCUUUACCUCCCAUUUUUUAGUGUGACCUGGGAAAUAUUGCUUCACUUUCUAGUAGGAAGUAGAUCAACCUGCCCAGAAACCUAGGCCCUUCUACUCCUGAAGGAAGAGCUUGGUGGGGUUAUCACCUCCUGAGGGAAGCCUCCUCAGACUUCCCUCACUAGACGAUUCUUCUUUUAUGUAAUUUUACCUUGUAGAACUCCAUCAUUGCCUUAUCACAGUUUGGCUUUGCAUUUACAUUGUUAUUCUUCAUUUAGUAUUUCAAUCCUACCCUGGGCUUUAAGCAACAUUACAGCAGGCCUAAGGUUCUCUUUGUUUACUAUUAUAUUCCUAAUGUCUCACAGAAUGUCUGACUCACAUUAGCACUCAAAAAAUCCAGUACCUGUUGAAUGAAUAAAUGCAUGAGUUGAGAAGAUUUUUUUAGAAUAAUACCAAUCAAGCUCCCAGGGACAGAGAGCAUUAAUGUUCAAAUUACAGGUAUCACCAAGGUAGAAAGACCUAAAGCCAGUAGACAGGCCCUAGAUUUGAGUUAGAAACAGAAAAUGAGGUGGUUGUUUAAUUUCUAUGAUGUGGAAGACACUAGAACUGGUCCUGACCCAUUGUUUCUGGGAAGGCCUGUGCUAGCACCUGGCUGGGUAUAUAAUGAAAAAACAAAACAAAACCCAUGUCUAUGGAUGAUAACAAGGGCCUCACUUUAUUAUGGUCUAAAGUGAUCUUAACUGAGCAAUGGACAGGAAGUGACCUUCCCUUUAAGGAUUGCUCCGGUCAGGAAAAGACUGUCAAAGCAGAAGGUUUCACCCAGCCCCACUUCCAUGUUCCUGGACAGCAUGCAGUGUUUAGCAACAAAAGCAGGCAGAGUCAAAUCAAUACACAAAUCAUGCUUCACCUCCCUGCCUGCCUCUUCUGCUGGAGGGAUCUAACAAGUCACCUUACUCCAUGUGGGGUGCUUCACAUCCAGUGGGUGGUACCCCAUGGACUCUCACCUACCUUCCAUUCAUUUUCACCUGAACCUACCCUACAGGAGAUAGCACCUAUGAAAGUCACCACAUGAAGGAAUUGACGUCUUUAUAACUCAAAGGUCAGUUGGUUUGAAGCCAGUGCCACCAAGUAUAAGCCAGGCCACCCUCAAAUGACAAUUUGUAGCCUAUAUCCUGACACCAUUAACUAUUCUUGGAACCGAGAACUCCCAUCUCUGUAUUUCCAGCAAGCCCAACCUCUGCUAGGAGCUUUUUUCCAUUCACCACCAUUGUCCACCCACAUGACUCAAAGCAAGACUGAAUUUAUCCCUUGCCAACACUUAAUUGAUGCCAGGAUACAAGAGGGCAAUGACAUUAGAGCUGAAAGAAGGAGAGACUGAGUGUCUGGACUGUCUGUUUUUAUAGCCACUUAAGGACUUGUGUACCACAACCUAGGAACUUCCAGUGCAAGUUAUUCCCACCCAAAACUAGGUAGAGAAGCAGUCUUGUUAUAUAAAGACCAAAUGAUAAUAUAUCAUUAAGCUCAGUCUGCCUCUCACCAGUGUAACCUAGUUCUCAAUUUUAUCUGUUAUCAUCCAAAAAUAUAGAUUGAAUCUCAUCACCCUUCGGUUAAAAUUCUCCAGGUAAUUCUCAUUACCUACAGCAGGGGUCCCCAACCCCCGGAUGGUUGACUCAUACCAGUCCCUGGCCUAUUAGGAAACAGGCCUCACAGCAGGAGGUAAAUGGCGGGCCGCUGAGCAUCACCACCUGUGCUUUCCCUCCUGUC